GGUGGAAUUGGAGGGGAGAAAUGUGCAGGACUCGUCCGACCAAGGCGGGCCGCCCCACCGUCCCACGUUCUGCGCUUACCCGGUUCCAUGUUUCCUCCCUCCUCCUUCGCCUCAGCCCUGCCUUGCCAAUCGUCCGUUACCCUGGCAGUAUAACGGUAAUGUUGCUUCAUUGCGAAUCCUUGUUUUUUUUGUAUAUAUAUAUUUCAACAGCCAGAUCUCCGAAGUUCUAAAUUCAAACGUCUCGUCCACCUUCCACGCCGCAUACAGGGUUUGCUGAUGCUAGGAAGCAUGUACCUGGGAGCGAAUGUCAAUGAUAUCUG
rnacentral:lncRNA from 1 species